rnacentral:rRNA from 1 species
UACAGAGGUCCCGAGCGUUGUUCGGAUUCACUGGGCGUAAAGGGUGCGUAGGUGGCGUGGUAAGUUUGAUGUGAAAGCUCAGGGCUUAACCCUGAAAUGGCAUUGAAUACUACCAGGCUGGAGGUUUGGAGGGGGGACUGGAAUUCCCGGUGUAGUGGUGAAAUGCGUAGAGAUCGGGAGGAACACCUGUGGCGAAGGCGGCCGACUGGGCCGACCCUGACGCUGAGGCGCGAAGGCGUGGGGAGCGAACGGGG